AUGGACGGAAGUCUGAACCAGCCAAGUAGCGUGCAGGAUUGACGGCCCUAUGGGUUGUAAACUGCUUUUGUUGGGGAGUAAAGUGGGGCACGCCGUUGCCUUUUUGCAUUUACCCUUCGAAAUAAGGACCGGCUAAUUCCGUGCCAGCCAGCCCGCGGUAAUACGGAAGGUCCAGGCGUUAUCCGGAAUUAAUUGGGUUUAAAGGGAGUUGUAGGCGGUCUGUUAAGCGUGUUGUGAAAUUUAGGUGCUCAACAUCUACCUUGCAGCGCGAACUGGCGGACUUGAGUGCACGCAACGUAUGCGGAAUUCAUGGUGUAGCGGUGAAAUGCUUAGAUAUCAUGACGAACUCCGAUUGCGAAGGCAGCGUACGGGAGUGUUACUGACGCUUAAGCUCGAAGGUGCGGGUAUCGAACAGGAUUAGAUACCCUGGUAGUCCGCACGGUAAACGAUGGAUGCCCGCUGUUAGCGCCUGGCGUUAGCGGCUAAGCGAAAGCAUUAAGCAUCCCACCUGGGGGAGUACGCCGGCAACGGUGAAACUCAAGAAUUGACGGGGCCGCACAGCGAGACUGUGUUA
rnacentral:rRNA from 1 species